UUAGAGCACCAGUGGUGGAACUUCAGCUCUGAGUAGCGUUUUUGGUCGACUUCGCAGAGGAAGGAAUGGUUACAAUGUUUCACGGGUUGGAAACUCAAACACCAGCAGUAGUGGAUCAGAUUCAUUUGCCAACACCUGAUUGUGCACAAAUAAUCUGUUCACUUGUAAAGAUGAAGUGUAUCUUAUCUUUCAAUUAUUUUCAUUCAGUCACAUAUGCAGGUAUGAUAUCUUGAAUGUAAGGUUCAGUGGCAAUAAUUUGUGAAGGACACUGUGCAGUAGAAUUUUAAUUAACUUGUAUGUCUUUAAAUACACAACGUUGCUGUUCAUUUUAAUUAUAAGUGUAAAAUCAAAGUGUUAUGGUUUGUAUGUGCAAUUCAAAGGGCAUUCUAAGGGGAAACCCCACAAAAAUAAGAUGAUUAUACAAGAGUUAAUUGGAAAAUGUAUUUACUAUUCUGUGACAUCACAGGAAUAUCAGUACUUUAAAAUAUUUCUGUGCAGAAAUAAAUGGAGUCUUGCAAGCAAAGAGAUCUACAAAUCUUCUAUUGGGAGUAAUGGGCCAAAGUUCUAGCAAACUCUUACCAGAAGAUUGAGGAAGGAAACCCAAAACGCUUGACUCAAAUCUUAGAGUUAAAAGAAAAGCUGCCUAAUGCUAUGGAAAUACACUGAACAAAAGUAUAAAUGCCACAUGUCGAAUACAAGAGUUUUAUGAACAUUUGUGUUAUGUAAUAUAUAGAUAAAUUCAAAGUAUAUUUUCACUAAUUAUCAAUCUUCAUAUUGGCAUUAAUAACAUCGUGGUCUGACCAUUUGUAGUGAAUUGGGAGUCCUUUGAACAUGAUAGGGGUCGGGUUGAGGAAUUUGAUUUUGACCCAGUUGACUUCUCUUAGGCGGUUAUGGACAGUCUGAGGUGUGAUGUGUCUGUUGUGCAGACCAAUAGUCUCAUCAGUUGUGUGUGUUGCUGGUCUUAGCCAAUUCUGCAGAUGUGGCGGUCUUGUGUUGGAGUGGUCACACAUGGCCGUCGAGGAUGAGGUCGAUGUGCAGUAGUGCUGGUCUUUUGGAAACAAACUCUUAAAGGCCUAUGGUCCGAUAAUGGACAUUGAGCCAUGCAGCUACUGCUCAGCUGGACAUCCCUGCAUCCAACAUGCUGAUGGCACGCUCCUACAUAACUAGUGACAUCUGAGGCAAAACGACUUGUGACCAAAUUUGACAUUUUGGGGCCUUUUAUUGUCCCCAGUCCAAGGAUUGUCCACUUGUUGUUCAUUUUGUCUGAUCACCCACUGGACAUGCCCCACCCAUCCACUGAGUAAAGCUCACUGACGGCAAAUUGGAUUAAAAAUUAUUCACAAAUCAAGAGAAAUAUUACUUUUGUACAAUAAAAUGUUAGCAAAUGCUAAUUUACAGUUCUUAACUUCACAUGGCAACAAUAUUGUACAUGGGGUGUUUAUAUUUUAUGUGAGCUUGUGACUUUGAAGAAAGUAAUAAAAAAUUUCAAAAAAUG